AUUGAACGCUGGCGGCAUGCCUUACACAUGCAAGUCGAACGGCAGCACGGGUGCUUGCCCCUGGUGGCGAGUGGCGAACGGGUGAGUAAUACAUCGGAACAUGUCCUGUAGUGGGGGAUAGCCCGGCGAAAGCCGGAUUAAUACCGCAUACGAUCUACGGAUGAAAGCGGGGGACCUUCGGGCCUCGCGCUAUAGGGUUGGCCGAUGGCUGAUUAGCUAGUUGGUGGGGUAAAGGCCUACCAAGGCGACGAUCAGUAGCUGGUCUGAGAGGACGACCAGCCACACUGGGACUGAGACACGGCCCAUACUCCUACGGGAGGCAGCAGUGGGGAAUUUUGGACAAUGGGCGAAAGCCUGAUCCAGCAAUGCCGCGUGUGUGAAGAAGGCCUUCGGGUUGUAAAGCACUUUUGUCCGGAAAGAAAUCCUUGGCCCUAAUACGGUCGGGGGAUGACGGUACCGGAAGAAUAAGCACCGGCUAACUACGUG
rnacentral:rRNA from 1 species